CCCCGGGUACUGCCAGGAGGCCAGGACACAGCGGAGGAGGACGGCUCUUGCCUCAUUGGCAGGCAGCUGCAGCUCGGUUUAACUGCUGAAAGAUGGGAUCUUCGUCCCUCCUUGAAGGGAGAUGCCGAGGUCUACGACAGCAGCAUAUCCAAGUGGUUCCCAGUUUUCUCCCUGCUUACCAACUGUGAGCCUGAAGUCUGGAGGCAACCAAAUAAAUCCUCUGCCCCGUCUUCUGCUGUUAUUUGUCUGUCGAAGGCCACCAGACUGGUUAAAAAUCCUCAAACCUCAAGUUUAAAGUCCAAAACCACUGAUGGGCUGAUCUCAUCAAAAGAGUUGAAAAGGAAAACGUUUUAAAAGUCAAAAAAGAAAAACUAAGCAUAAAAAGAAAUAAAUAUUAACGUCAGCCUGAAGUGCCUUUUGAUUAAACACCCUCCAGCACCACACUGCCUGGUAUUCCUGAUGAGACACUGACAGACCAGGACCUGGGUCUCCUCAGAAAUGUUUCAGUUCUCUGUGCCCACAUCGUAUGGAAUUAAGCUGAAGGUGUGACUGCUUUUCCCUGCACCCACAGCAAAGGCUCGGUUGGGAUUUUGCAGCCUGUGGGAGGGAAACAGGGGCCAGGCACACCCAUAGGGCCACACCGGACCCUUGCCACCACCUGCAGCUUUUGGGUCCGGACCUGACACCUCGCUGAAAACCCCACUGAGCCAGGGCCCACAACACAGGCAAAAACAAGCCAAAAGCCCCCUUUUCUGCAGGUGUGCCAACAAGAGACCCCAGCUGGGGUGAAGAAUGUGUUUGGCAGUGAGGAAGGAGGAUCCCGGGCUCCUUCCUCCCUGAGGACAAGGGGCUCCCUCAGAUGCUGGAGCCACCCUGCAGCGGGCGCCGGGAGGGAAGCUGGAAGCCAGUAUGAGCCAGGGGAGCCACUCUGCAGGUCCAACUGUGUGGGCUGAUGCUGCUUGAGGAGCACAGAGGGACAGAAAAUGGUACCUAGAAGAAUGGGACACUCCAGCUGAAACAGAAGCACUCCCCAGACAGGACACGCAGAGCUCCGAGGACGCUCAGAAUGCCCAUUCUCACACAGCCGUGGGUUUCGGGGCACGCAUCCCUUGAAAAAGGAUGCCCUGCUGCCUCCUGUUCUUUUCCAGCCAUCCAGCCCAUGUGUUUGGCCCAGACAAGCCUGCCCACAUCUCAAGCACCAGGGAAAGCUUCCAUCGCUGCCAGUCCCAGAAAGACACUGGCCUGCUUGGCUUUUUCAAACUCCAGCUGAGCAAACACAGGUGCUGCUCUCCCCACUCGCCGGUGUUUCCUCUCACCCGGGAGCCUCACUGUGGCCGGCUGCUCUGCUCUGGGGCACAUGCUCUCCCGCUUGCUCUAGGGCUUGAUUCACACCAACUGCCUCUUUUCUGUCUUCGCCCCGAAGCCUCAAACUGUGGCUGCAGCUCUAGGACUGGCAUCACUUGCACCCGAAGGCACCGGGGCUGGCUGUAAAGCCCACAGGAAGCCCAGCCGUGUUCCCCCAAGCCGUGCCUGCACGUUUUUCUGCCCUACACGCCUGCUCAGAGCAGGUGCGGCAGAAACACUGCCCUUACCCCCAAAUCCCGCAGCAAAAGGCCUUUCCCCACGCUGCUCUCAUUCAUCGUUUUACAGCGUUUAUUGCAGAAUGCUCCCAAUCGCAGGAAGACGGCAUACGCUCCCCAAACCACAGCUGUAGGUGCUGAGGAAAUAACACCAGAGGCGGCCAACAACCCCGUUCCUUUAAUCUCCGCUUCCACCCCUUGAGCGUUACAGGUAGCAGCAACAGGAUCAGGUACGCCAUGUUCAGAUCAGCUGCCGCCCAGCCUUUCGCUGUUGACAGCAUCUGCAUUAGAGGCAAACCCUACCAGCCCCCCCAAAUCACUGUGCCUUAUGUGGUGCAGGCAGCAGCACGCAGAUCCCCCAGCCAGCCCUGCCUGUCCCGCCUCCCCAUCCAGGGCAUGGCGCUGCCCCUCCAGCCCUGGCCGGGGGGUCCUUGCAGAUACAGGUUUGGUUUCCUGGGCUGCUCAUCAGGGUGGCCAACACACCCUGGGCACUUCCUCAAUAAUUAUUCAUCAAAAUAGAUAAAGGAGGGAGGUGACAGCUGGAGAAAAGGUCUAUGCAAAGAAAGAGACUCCCAAAUACCCGGUGCUUAAAGCAGAUUGAUGCUCUGGGGCUCAGCCAGGCCCUGGGAAAAGAGGCAGGAGCUCAGAGUGGGGCAGCUUGUCCACACCUCGCUGCCUUCCCUCCUGCCGGCAUCCUGUGUCCUGCCCACCCAAGGAAGCUGUCUGCAGCUUGGCUCCCUCUCACGGCGCCUCACCCGGGUCAGGAGUGGGCUGCUGGGCUCUGAGGGCAGCUGCCCUGACCCCCCCAGCCCCCUGCUCCCUGGCACGGCCCUGAAUGCAGCCCUGUGCCCUCCCCAGUGCUAGGGGGCCACGGCAGCGCAGCGUGUCUCCAGGGAUGAGGCCAGCUCACUUUUGAGGACUGCGGGGUGUGCAAAGCCCUAAACUCCCUCCCUCUCCUCUCCUGCCCCUGACCAACUGCAGCAUGAGAGCUGAGAGGACCGGUCACUGGUAGUGUAUUUAUAUGUCGGUACAAAUAAAAACAAAACAAAACCCAAAAAGUAACAACGAAAAUGUUUCUCUGAACGAGAGCAAAAUAGGAACAUUUACAAAUACUUCUGGCUCUGGCUUGGAUCAAGUUAAUGUUAAAUACAAAAAACCAAACCAAAACAAAACCCAAACCAAAAACCCCAAC